rnacentral:rRNA from 1 species
CCUACGGGAGACAGCAGUGAGGAAUAUUGGUCAAUGGGCGGGAGCCUGAACCAGCCAAGCCGCGUGGGGGAAGAAGGUACAGCGUAUCGUAAACCUCUUUUGUCAGGGAACAAAGGCGGGGACUUGUCCCCGGAUGAGUGUCCCUGAAGAAAAAGCAUCGGCUAACUCCGUGCCAGCAGCCGCGGUAAUGCGGAGGGUGCGAGCGUUACUCGGAAUCACUGGGCGUAAGGGGCGCGUAGGCGGGAUUGUAAGUCAGAUGUGAAAGCCUAUGGCUUAACCACAGGACUGCAUUUGAAACUGUUAGGCUGGAGUAGGGGAGAGGUAGGUGGAAUGCGUGGUGUAGCGGUGAAAUCCGUAGAUAUCAAGAGGAAUACUGAUUGCGAAGGCGACCUGCUGGAACAUGACUGACGCUGAGGCGCGAAAGCGUGGGGAGCAAACAGGAUUAGAUACCCUUGUAGUC